GACGAACGCUGGCGGCGUGCUUAACACAUGCAAGUCGAACGGAAAGGCCCUGCUUUUGUGGGGUGCUCGAGUGGCGAACGGGUGAGUAACACGUGAGUAACCUGCCCUUGACUUUGGGAUAACUUCAGGAAACUGGGGCAAUACCCGGUAGGAGGCUCUGGCGGAUGGGUGGGGUUUGGAAGGUUUCGGCGGUGGGGGAUGGACUCGCGGCUUUUCAGCUUGUUGGUGGGGUAGUGGCUUACCAAGGCUUUGACGGGUAGCCGGCCUGAGAGGGUGACCGGCCACAUUGGGACUGAGAUACGGCCCAGACUCCUACGGGAGGCAGCAGUGGGGAAUAUUGCACAAUGGGCGGAAGCCUGAUGCAGCAACGCCGCGUGCGGGAUGACGGCCUUCGGGUUGUAAACCGCUUUCGCCUGUGACGAAGCGUGAGUGACGGUAAUGGGUAAAGAAGCACCGGCUAACUACGUG
rnacentral:rRNA from 1 species